rnacentral:tRNA from 1 species
GCGGGCGUGGUGGAAUGGCAGACACGUUGGUCUUAGGAGCCAAUGGGCAACCGUGCGGGUUCGAGUCCCGCCGCCCGCACCA